UACGGAGGGGGCAAGCGUUAUUCGGAAUCAUUGGGCGUAAAGGGCGCGUAGGCGGCUUGGCAAGUCAAAGGUGAAAUCCCUCGGCCUAACCGAGGAACUGCCUUUGAUACUGCUUGGCUUGAGGCCGGGAGAGGGUAGCGGAAUUCCCAGUGUAGCGGUGAAAUGCGUAGAUAUUGGGAGGAACACCAGUGGCGAAGGCGGCUACCUGGACCGGUUCUGACGCUGAGGCGCGAAAGCGUGGGGAGCAAACAGG
rnacentral:rRNA from 1 species